GGGAGCCGAAAGCCUUAGAUUCUUAAGGUUCCGGCGCUCAGGUUUCUAAUCCGAGGGUUGGGUGUUCGAGUCACCCCGGGCCCGCCA
rnacentral:tRNA from 1 species